GGCCUGGUGGUCUAGUGGUUACAAAUCUUGCUUCAGGUAAUCUCGUGCCUUUUACAAGGCAUGAAAUGCGAGAGGCCCUGGGUUCAAAUCCCAGUCAGGCCC
rnacentral:tRNA from 1 species